UACGUAGGGGGCAAGCGUUGUCCGGAAUUAUUGGGCGUAAAGAGCGUGUAGGCGGUCCGGUAAGUCCGCUGUGAAAGUCCAGGGCUCAACCCUGGAAUGCCGGUGGAUACUGCCGGGCUAGAGUCCGGAAGAGGCGAGUGGAAUUCCUGGUGUAGCGGUGGAAUGCGCAGAUAUCAGGAGGAACACCGAUGGCGAAGGCAGCUCGCUGGACCACUACUGACGCUGAGGAACGAAAGCUAGGGGAGCAAACAGG
rnacentral:rRNA from 1 species